rnacentral:rRNA from 1 species
GACGAACGCUGGCGGCGUGCUUAACACAUGCAAGUCGAACGGAAAGGCCCUGCUUUUGUGGGGUGCUCGAGUGGCGAACGGGUGAGUAACACGUGAGUAACCUGCCCUUGACUUUGGGAUAACUUCAGGAAACUGGGGCUAAUACCGGAUAGGAGCUCCUGCUGCAUGGUGGGGGUUGGAAAGUUUCGGCGGUUGGGGAUGGACUCGCGGCUUAUCAGCUUGUUGGUGGGGUAGUGGCUUACCAAGGCUUUGACGGGUAGCCGGCCUGAGAGGGUGACCGGCCACAUUGGGACUGUGAUACGGCCCAGACUCCUACGGGAGGCAGCAGUGUGGAAUAUUGCACAAUGGGCGGAAGCCUGAUGCAGCAACGCCGCGUGCGGGAUGACGGCCUUCGGGUUGUAAACCGCUUUCGCCUGUGACGAAGCGUGAGUGACGGUAAUGGGUAAAGAAGCACCGGCUAACUACGUG